GGGGCCGGCCCGACGCGGAGCCGAGCCGGAGCCGCCGCCGCCGCCGCCGCCGCGGUCCCGGGAGGAGGCGACACCAUGUCGGACCGGGUCACAUGGGGCGGCGCGGGCCCGGGCUUGGGCCCGCCCCUCACACCUGCGGCCGUGGAGCCACUUUGGGGUGCGGACUGAGGCCGGGGCGCGGACAGCCCCCAUCCCGGGCAGCCGGGAGCACUUGGUGCGAGCGCAGGCGUUCGUGCAUCGAGCUUGCUGUGGGACCCACCGAAGGCCCCUGCCCUCAAGAAGCACCUAGUAGGAUGGCUUUCCUGUCAAGGGAGCCUUCCUCUUCCUCCCUUGAGUGAUGCUUCCUCUCCGCAGGCCACAUGCCGGGGCCCCAGGAACAGCAGCCCUGGAAGUUCCAUACCCCGGUUUCUCACACAGGGUGCAAAGAUCACCCAGGAUCCCUUCUCUGUACCACCCAUUCAAUUCUCAUGGCACCCACCUGAGAGGAGAGCGCCCGAGGUCUACACCUGUGCUGUCCAACACCGUCCCUCCUUGCCACGUGACUCUGAAGCAUUUGAAGUGUGACUGGUUCAAAUUGAAGUAUGCUGUAUCAUGCUAUUGGAAGCUAUCAAGACAGGAACACUGCAAAUUAAGGAAAUGUCACAUCAAUUCAACAUUUAUGGAUCUCUGUACAGUGAGGUGCUCUGGAAAGAUAAAUGUGGUUCCUGCAUUUUGUGUUUAG
rnacentral:lncRNA from 1 species